rnacentral:rRNA from 1 species
GACGAACGCUGGCGGCGUGCCUAAUACAUGCAAGUCGAACGCAGUGGGGACGGGUGAGUAACACGUGGGUAACCUCCCAUCAGAGGGGAUAAGACAUGGAAACAGGUGCUAAACCGAUACUGAUGGAUGGACCCGCGGUGGAUUAGCUAGUUGGUGAGGUAACGGCUCACCAAGGGCACGAUCCGUAGCCGACCUGAGAGGAUGACCGGCCACACUGGGACUGAGACACGGCCCAGACUCCUACGGGAGGCAGCAGUAGGGAAUCUUCGGCAAUGGAGGAAACUCUGACCGAGCAACGCCGCGUGAGUGAAGAAGGUUUUCGGAGCGUAAAACUCUGUUGUUAGAAAAGCGGUAUCUAACGAGAAAGCACCGGCUAACUACGUGCCAGCCGCCGCGGUAAUAC